rnacentral:rRNA from 1 species
CACGUAGGGUGCGAGCGUUGUCCGGAAUUAUUGGGCGUAAAGAGCUCGUAGGCGGUGUGUCGCGUCGGCCGUGAAAACCUGCAGCUUAACUGUGGGCGUGCGGUCGAUACGGGCAUCACUGGAGUUCGGCAGGGGAGACUGGAAUUCCUGGUGUAGCGGUGAAAUGCGCAGAUAUCAGGAGGAACACCGGUGGCGAAGGCGGCGAUCUGGGAAGAUACUGACGCUGAGGUGCGAAAGCGUGGGGAGCAAACAGG